rnacentral:rRNA from 1 species
UACGUAGGCAGCGAGCGUUGUUCGGAAUUACUGGGCGUAAAGAGUGUGUAGGCGGUGCUCUAAGUUCGGUGUGAAAUCUCCCGGCAUAACUGGGAGGGUGCGCCGGAAACUGGAGUGCUCGAGCGUGGGAGAGGAAAGCGGAAUUCCUGGUGUAGCGGUGAAAUGCGUAGAUAUCAGGAGGAACACCUGCGGUGUAGACGGCUUUCUGGACCAUUGCUGACGCUGAGACACGAAAGCGUGGGUAGCAAACAGG